AUACUUACCUGACAGCGGAGAUACCAUGGUCAUGAAGGUGGUUUUCCCAGGGCGAGGCUUAUCCAUUGCACUCUGGAUGUGCUGACCCCUGCUAUUUCCCCAAAUAGGUAAAAAAAAAUAAAAAAUAAAAAUUAAUAAUUCUUAGUGAUUGCCCUAGAGUUUG